GCAUCUUUUCACAUCAGAGAGGAAUUGCUGAAAAAGAUGAUGGAAUCUUCUUUCAAUAAUGUUGGUGUUACGAUAAAGCAGAAGAAAAGUUCCAUGAAAGUGGAGUCGUUUUUUAAAACAAAUUUGGAAAAUACAGUUGAAUGAUAUAUUAUUAAGACAGUAUUUCGUUUGUCCUGUGUAAAGAAUGUGGGAUAUGACAGUAAAUGACAAUUUUUUUGUUUCAGUGAUGACGAACAUAUCACAUCAAUGUCAGAAUUCAGCGUCUAUAAAGAAACUCCUCGGAGUAAAAUAUUUUUAAUAAUUCGAUAUCGAAACCAUCCUCAGUCGUUCGGGCUGGAAUACACAAGCGGUCGGCUGAGAAAUUACUCGUCUCCUGACAGGGAAACAUUAUUGGCUGGUUUGCUAGACGGUGUUAGAGCCAGUUGAAACAUAGAUGUUUGCGUAAAAACGACCCCAACGAAGAGAAGUACUGUACGCUUAUUCAUAGAUGAUUGAGCGAAAAUUAUGGUCAAAAUUUUCCUGAUGAAAAUCUCGUACUGCUAUGAUUACCCUAAAUAGGAUCCCUCAUUUCAUUCUCCUGCUGACGUAUGUGAUCUCAUAUAACACACCAACAAUUACACUUCUCGUCAGGUUAUCGUUGGGGUCCAUUGUAUAAUGUUGUUGACGAAGAAGUAGAAAGCAGUCAUUUAAAUUCCUCGCUGCAUCUCCAGGAAAUUUAACCGAAGCUGUGUACAGAUUUAACUGCAAUAUU